CACUUGGUGCACGGAACUGCCCUCCCUCCGCGCGGUCCCCUCCGCGCACCCCGGGGACGCGCAGAGGCCGCCCGCGCGCGCCGCGCCUGGUGUCCGCGGAGGGCGGCGCCUGCGCAGGGCCCGGCGCGGCGGCGCGGCCUUUGAAGUCCCGGCGGCUGCCGCUUUCAUCCUCUCUUUUUUCCCUUGCAGGCCCCUUUGUGUGACUAAAUUUGGCAAGAAUAUGGAUCCGCGCCAGUCUUUCCACGUGUGCUCCCAGCUCCCAGCUGAGAAGGCCAAGGGUUCUCUUCCGGGCGACUAGCCAGAAAGUUUCUGUUUUUAUGGUUAAAAAACCGUAAAGCCUCUUCUUGAAGACGCUUCUGGAGCAAUAUUCUGUUGUUUAGAAGCAGCCAGAAUAAAGAGACAGCUUUGGAGUAGCA
rnacentral:lncRNA from 1 species